ACUGCCAUCACUCUAGAUCAUGCCACUAGUAACUCCGGCCUGGACAGGAGCAGUACCCUCCACUCUUGCCUGAUGUGUAAUCCUUUGUCUACUGAUAUGGUCUGGAUCUGUGUCCCCACCCAAAUCUCACGUCAAAUUAUAAUCCCCAGUGUUGGAAAUGGGAUCUGGUGGAAGAUGAUUGGAUCAUGGGGGCAGUUUCUCAUGAAUGAUUUAGCACUAACCCCCUAGUGCUGAUGUUGUGAUAGAGUUCUCAUGAGAUCUGGUUGUUCAAAGUGUGUGGCACCUCCCACUCUCUCUUCCGCCUGCUCUGGCCAUGUAAGAUGUGCCUGCUUACCCUUUGCCUUCCGCCAUGAUUGUAAGUUUCCUGAGGCCUCCCCAGAAGCUGAUGCCACCAUGCUUCCUGUACAGCCUGCAGGACUGUGAGCCAAUGAAACCUCUUUUCUUUAUAAAUUACCCAGUCUCAGGUAUUUUUCUUUAUAGCAGUGUGAGAAUGCACUAAGACACCAACCCAGUAGAAAAUCAGAAGAUGAUAGUUUUUAAAUAUGGCUCAAAUUACUCUCCUUUCCCCCAGGCCUCCCACCCAAGCCCUUCGAAGACUUCCUGACACUCUUAAAGUCCAAAUCCUUCUCCAUGGCUCACUGUGUCCAUCCUUGACCAGUCCCCACCUGCCUCUCUGACCAGCUGCCCACCACCCUUCCCCAGCUCACCAGUCUCAGCCCCACUGGCCUCUUUUCAUUCUCCCAACACCACAUGCCUGUCCUAGCCUUAGGGCUUUUACAUGUAUGCCUCUACUGCCUAAAAUAGAAGUCUCCCAGAUCUUUGGAUUGCUGGCUCCCUCUGAUUCCUUAGGUCCCAGCUCAAAUAUCAUUCCCUCGAGUAGCCCCUCUCAGCCAUUCUAUGUCAUUGUCUCACUACUUUACUUUAUUUUCUUCACUGUAUCCAAAGCUAUUAUGUUAAUAUGGUUGUUUACCAGAACAUAAGCCCCAUAAGGGCAAGGAUGUUGUCUACCUUGUUUAUGGUUUGUAUCAGUCAGGGUACCAGCAAGGCGUCUCACUAUGUUGCCCAGGUUGUACUUGAACUCCUGGGCUAAAGUGAUCCUCCCACUCAGCCUCUAGAGUAGCUGGGCCUGCAGGCACACACCAGCACACCCAGUGAGAUGGCAUUCUUAAAGGAGUUUAACUGAAGGGAAUUUGAGAAAGGAACCAGGUACAGAAACGUGGGCAGGGUUAAGAGAACACAUGAUGCGGCACCCAGGGCCUACCACUGUGGAAAGCUAUCCCCACCGGUAGAACUGAAGGGGCAAGAGUGCAGAGCUGUGUUUGGAGAUGGUAAGAGCGGAGGCUAUGGGAGAGGAGCUACCCACCACAGCCAUGGCAACGCAGGGGACAAGCGGUGACUGGGUAAGUUGCCCCGCUUCUUCCUCCUCCCACCUUCAGAUUUCCUGCCAUUAUUUCCUGGCCAAGCCCAACUGGAAGCCAGAGAGCAAGAGAGCCUUACACAGUCCAUAGGGGUCAGACUCUGGGGCCCCAGAACAGGGCAGGAAGGGUGGGGCACAGGGCAGGAUCGGAGCAAACAGAGCCUAGCCAACCCUACAUUGCUUGCUACAUAGGUGCUCCCACAUGCUGAUUAAAUGAAUGGUUGAUCGAAUGAAUGAAUAAAUGAACAACAAAGAAAGCUGAAGAGAAAGACAAAGGGAUAUCCACAGGAAUUAACAUUUAGGAAGCUCCUAGUGGGUGCCAUGUGGGCAUCAUAUAUAAAUAAUCUUGUUUAAUCCACACAGGAAUCCUAUGAGAUACCUUACUGUCCCUGUAUAUGGCUGAUGAUCCUGAGACCUUAGAGGUUACCAUACCCUAUUAAAGAGAAAUCAUGGAGCCAGGAUUCCAACUGAGGUUCCAAGUGUUUUUCCCUUGCAUUACACUAAACAUAUAUUGCAUGUUUCCAUACUUGCAUCAGCCUGGAACCUGCAUCCCUCCCAUUCCUGCCUGGAAUGCUCUAUAGCCUGCCUAAAUCCCAGUUAACUUCUGGUUCAGCUCAUGCUCCUCCUCUUCACAGCCUGCCCUGGAUCACCACAGCCAAAGAUAGAUGGAUACCUUUGGGAAGCCCACUCAUUCAUCUAUCCAUUCGUCCAGCCAUAUCCAUCUAUCCAAGUCUGCACUACUUGGGAGCCCAG
rnacentral:lncRNA from 1 species